GACGAACGCUGGCGGCGUGCCUAAGACAUGCAAGUCGAACGGAUUGAUUGGGGAGCUUGCUUCCCAUGAUAUCAGUGGCGAACGGGUGAGUAACACGUGGAUAACCUGCCCCACAGUCCGGGAUAACACUCCGAAAGGAGUGCUAAUACGGGAUAGGCCUCAGAGCCGCAUGGUUUUGAGGGGAAAGGCGAAAGCCGAUGAGGGAUGGGUCCGCGUCCCAUUAGCUAGUUGGUGAGGUAACGGCUCACCAAGGCGACGAUGGGUAGCCGGCCUGAGAGGGUGAACGGCCACACUGGGACUGAGAUACGGCCCAGACUCCUACGGGAGGCAGCAGUCGGGAAUCUUCCACAAUGGGCGAAAGCCUGAUGGAGCGACGCCGCGUGAGUGAUGAAGGUCUUCGGAUCGUAAAGCUCUGUUACCAGGGACGAAACAAGACGGUACCUGGGGAGGAAGCCACGGCUAACUACGUGCCAGCAGCCGCCGUAAGAC
rnacentral:rRNA from 1 species